rnacentral:rRNA from 1 species
UCCGUAGGUGGAUCAAUCAGUCAGAGGUGAAAUCCUGCAGCUUAACUGUAGAACUUCCUUUGAUACUGUUGAUCUUGAGUCAUUAUGAAGUGGUUAGAAUGUGUAGUGUAGCGGUGAAAUGCAUAGAUAUUACACAGAAUACCGAUUGCGAAGGCAGAUCACUAAUAAUGUACUGACACUGAGGGACGAAAGCGUGGGGAGCGAACAGGAUUAGAUACCCUGGUAGUCC